rnacentral:rRNA from 1 species
GUGGAUUAGAUACCCGGGUAGUCCGCGCGGUAAACGAUGGAUGCCCGCUGUUGGGCCAACUGGUUCAGCGGCCAAGCGAAAGCAUUAAGCAUCCCACCUGGGGAGUACGCCGGCAACGGUGAAACUCAAAGGAAUUGACGGGGGCCCGCACAAGCGGAGGAACAUGUGGUUUAAUUCGAUGAUACGCGAGGAACCUUACCCGGGCUUGAAUUGCAGAGGAAGGAUUUGGAGACAAUGACGCCCUUCGGGGCCUCUGUGAAGGUGCUGCACGCCCGUCGUCAACU